AGGAGACCUUGUAGACCAGCAAGGAGCUUAUCACCACAGCUAACUGCUACAGAGAAGCAUUGAACUCUUCUCACUUCCAAACCUGUGUCUACAGGUGAUUGGUCUUCUGUAGACGGAACUUUGAACUUCAGCCUCAUUAUCCCCGUGAUAGAAUCACACCAGGCAUCCAGGAACUUUUGCUUGCCGUUUUAUUAAAUAUACUAAACAUA